GACGAACGCUGGCGGCGUGCCUAAUACAUGCAAGUAGAACGCUGAAGAGAGGAGCUUGCUCUUCUUGGAUGAGUUGCGAACGGGUGAGUAACGCGUAGGUAACCUGCCUUGUAGCGGGGGAUAACUAUUGGAAACGAUAGCUAAUACCGCAUAACAAUGGAUGACCCAUGUCAUUUAUUUGAAAGUGGCAAAUUCUCCACUACAAGAUGGACCUGCGUUGUAUUAGCUAGUAGGUGAGGUAACGGCUAACCUAGGCGACGAUACAUAGCCGACCUGAGAGGGUGAUCGGCCACACUGGGACUGAGACACGGCCCAGACUCCUGCGGGAGGCAGCAGUAGGGAAUCUUCGGCAAUGGGGGCAACCCUGACCGAGCAACGCCGCGUGAGUGAAGAAGGUUUUCGGAUCGUAAAGCUCUGUUGUAAGUCAAGAACGAGUGUGAGAGUGGAAAGUUCACACUGUGACGGUAGCUUAACAGAAAGGGACGGCUAACUACGUG
rnacentral:rRNA from 1 species